ensembl:lncRNA
CACCAAGGAGUGGCCUGAAGAACCUAAUUUGGGCUCAAGAAACUCAGUGAAUGUAUUCAAUAUUUAUAGGAGAAUGAAGAUACUUUGAAGAAUCCCAGAUUCCCACAACACAGGAAGACCCAGCGUUUUCUCUUUUUGCUUAACACAAUGACUAGAGAGACACCAUUCCUUGCCAAAGGCUGUCUAGAUCUUCUAAAACUCUUCUGCUGAUGGAACAUCUUAUUUGCCUGAAGCCAGAAAGUUGGGCCAAAUGGUUUCUUGGAUUCUCUUUCAGCUCUAGUCUUGGUGACUUGGCUUCUCAGUGUCACUGUGCUGGCAGCCUGGAAGCCCUGCUUUGACUUCAUGCCAUUUCAAGGAAAUCGCUGACUCAUUAAAACGGAGCUGGGGAUAUUGCAAGAGCCCUGGAGACAUUAAUGAGAAGCGGGCACUGUUUAAGCAGGGGCUGCUCCCGGCUCAGAAAGCUGAAGAGACACAGGAGGAGGACUCUUCUCUAAUGAAGCCCUCAGCUUUCCACAUGGAUGGACAAGCUGGCAAUCCUAAGAAAGCACAUUUUGGAGAAAACUGAACAAUUCUAAAAUACUCAGUUUGAGAAACAUUAGCCAGAAGUUUAGAUGUCACUUCUAUAUAUCUCUACCUGAGAGUUGCUUCAUUUUUUAUAACUGUCUUAGAGUUCAAUUAGGCAGGAUAUAGGAAGGCCUUAAAAACGUUCAUGCCCCUGGACCAAGAGAUCCUGGGACCUAGGAAGUCACUUAAAGGAGACAAUCAGACAAGGUGGGAAAAAAUACAUGUACUAGACAAUUUAUCUGUUUAAAAUAGCACUAUCCACAGCAUCAGCAACAACUCUAGUAGUCAGGGUUUCUCCAGAAAACAGAACCAAUAGGACAAGUGGAUGUAUGCUACGUGGUAUAUAGUAUAUAGAUAUUAUGAGGAAUUGGCUCAUGUGAUUGCAGAGGGUGAGAAGUCCCACAGGCUGCCCUCUGCAAGCUGGAGACCCAGGAAUCCUGGUGGUAUAAUUCAGUCAGAAUCCAAAGGCCUGAGAACCAGAGGAACUAAAGGUGUAAACGCAGUCAAAGGGCAGGGUGUGUGUUCCUGGGUUAUUGGCUCUCCUCCAAGAGAUGGUUGUGACUGGGAAGCCAGGCACCUUCUGUCUAGGGGCUCUGCCAUUCCCUAGAGCAGGGGUUGGCAAACUUUUUCUGUAGAGGGCCAGCUAGUAAAUAUUCUAGACUUUCUAGGCUCUAUAGUGUCUUGUCAUAAGUACUCAACUCUGUAGCAUGAAACAGCCAUAGACCAUUAGCCCAUAGGCUCUUUGUGGACCUCUGCCCUAGGCCGUCAGAGACCUUUCCUGGAUCUAUGCUUCUGGCCCACAAAGGAAGAGAGAAUGUGUCUCUAUCCCGUAUCCAUCUAAAAGAACAUAUGGGAAGGCCACAUUCCUAAUCUGAUCUUUGCCGCUGGGCUGAGUCUUGUGUUUAACUGAGGAAUAUCACUGGCUCUAAUACUCAAAGCCUUAUCUCUUAUUAUUUGGUAAUCUCAAAGGUAUCAGCUAUCCUAACAUUUCAUUGCCCCAGGUUUCUUGACUCUGUUCCCUUUCAUUUCAGCUUGCAGACCAGCCAACUCCUUCCUGAACUCAUCUCUUUCCUAUAAAACAUUACCAAAGACAGCUAAUAGUAGCCAGCAGGCACCAGCACUCAAAUUAUUCCCAACCGCUUCCUCAGAACCCUGGUUCAGUAAACACACGGUCUUCUUUAAGUUACUGCAGGUGACCAUUUUUCAGUGUCUUGCUACUUUAUAGCCUAGUAUCCAUCAUUCAGCUACUACCAUGUUUCCUUACCAUUCGCCAACUCACUCAUGUAUUUUAGAUUUAUGCUAUGGCAGCACCCAACUUCGAGGUACCAGUCUCUGAAUUGUAAUAAAGGCACCAAUAUUUCAGUGGUUUUAAAUAAUAAAAAAAUUAUUUUUUGACCUGAAACAGUCCAACACAGGUGUCUGUGGUUGGGUGGGUCUCCUGGGUAGCUUUAUUCCACAUGGCAACUUAGGAACCCAGGAUGCUUCCAGUCUAGGGGCUUCACCAAUCUCCAGGGUCUUGGAGUUCACCAGGUCUCCACAUCCAGCCACUAGACCCAUGAUUGCCUCUUGUUCCGUUGGCCAGAACUCAGUUAUAUGGCUCCACCUAACAGCAGAGGAGACUGGGAAAUACAGCCUAGCUGCGUGCCCAGAAGAAAAAAAAAGAUACCGGCGAACGAACAGCAUUCUCUCUGAACAGUGGUUUAUGUGGUACAAUUUUCUUGAUUGCAGGCAGUCAUGGGGUUACCAGGCCUAUACGAAAGUGAUCCUUCUCUCCCGGUCUUUCAGCUUCUAUGUUCUGAUCAUGAGAGAAAAGGGAGAAGCUGAGAGUUGCAGGGAGAAGCAGAAGCUGCAAGAAACAGACACAGUGAAGC